GCUUGUUCCACAAAUUUGGCUUAAUCUCCAGGAACAGGCUAUACCACAAGCCUUGAAAGAUUUCCUGCCCCAGACUCAGUCUGACUGCUCUUUAUCUGAUCAGCUGUCAUACCAAAAACAAAGUAUACAACUACAGAUGAGUUACAAGGACCCUUUCUGUCUCAGCAGGAUGUUAAGCUGAGUAAGAACUGAUGCCUCUCCCAUUGGGGUCUGUCUCUCUUAUCCAGCCAGAAGGAUCACUUUUAAGUUUCAUGAGGAUCAAAUUCACUCCUGGUGCUUUUACAUCCUCUCCCACCAAGCAUCAGUGUGGAUAUCUGCUGUGUUCCUGUCCAUGGGCUGCAUUUGGAUAAGCAACUCCACGCUGUCUACAUGGGCUGCAGGUUGAGCUCUGUUCUGGUGGUGCCUGAAGAAACUCUUUCCACACCUACACUGACACUGGCAUCUGCAGGCCUUUUUUGCUCAUGUUUUUUUUUCUGUCUCCAUCUCAUAACUGGCAUGCAGCACUUUUUGCCCUUUCUUAAAAACAUUAUCACAAAGCUACCAGUGUUGUUGAUGGGCUCAGCUUUGAAUGUCAGUGGAGCUGGCUGGGACUGGUUCUGUCUAUGGGGGUGGCUCCUGUUCUCUUGUCACACAGGGCACCCUGGCAGGUCCCCACAACCAUAAACUUGUCGCUUAAUCCAUUAAUAACUUCUACUGAGUAGUAUAAGGUUUUCCUUUAUCUGCUUUCUGCUGUGACACUUUCCCUGUGGAGCAGUAAAAGUGAACUGG